rnacentral:sRNA from 1 species
CUCAUGGGAUUGGGGGGGGGGGUCUCAAGGCUCCUUGAACUUGUCUAGGGUGGCCAGGUAGUACACAGUGUCCUAUGGAAUCUGCUGCCUUCUUGGAGAGACUACUGGAUGCCUACUACAACUAUUCUAUGAUCGACACCAAGACACCAGAGCCAGCUGUCAUUGAGGCUUCCAUGGGUCAAUCAGCCUCUGAUAUCCAGAAGAAGAUUCAGAAAAUUGAAGGCUUCAAAGAUAAGAACAGACAGCCACUUUGAGUGGCAAGAUCCAGAAAAUGGAUUCAGGGACAGCUGACCUGGACCAGAUUACCAACAAGGAUUCAAAACUCACCUACGAUUUUGAUGACUCAUCAGGACCAAUGUGAGUACAGGCAGACAUGCUUCUUUGCUUCAGUAUAUGGAUGAUUUGCUAAUGAAUGCCAUUGAUGUUGACUCUUAUAUAGAAGCAACCAGGUUUCCUCUAGAACCACUGCAGAAACUGAGAUAUAGGAUCUCAGCUAAGAAGGUUCAGAUUUGUGGAUCUGAAGUGACCUAUUUGGGUUUCCAGCCCAAGGGGAGUAAAGAAGUCUUUUCACCCUGUAAAGAAACCAUCUCAAGCAUCCCGAUGUCUAAGACCAGACACCAAGUAUGGAAAUUCUUGGGGUCAACUGUUUUUUUGCAGGCUCAGGAUACCAGGUUUUGCUGAAAUAGUUAAACCCCUUUGUGAGGCCACCAGGGGGCAUGAAGAGCCUUUCAUAUAGACAGCAGAAGGAAGUAGUUUGGGACUUGAAGUCAGCACUGUUCAGUUCCUGCCCUGGCGCUGCCUGAUGUGACAAAGCCCUUCCAUUUAUUUGUGGACAAAAGUUAAUGACCCUUUCAGACCUGGUCCUGCUUGAAUAUUCAGUUUAUUUCACAGAAGACAACCAGGCCUAAUAGCACCUAAGUAAUACCUCAUAAAGGACAGAUGGGGACAUACAACUGAUGAAAGAAAGAUUCUACCAAAAAUUUGGUCAGAACUUUGAUCUAGGAUCUCCAUGCCAUCACUCAUCUGGGAAUGAAUAAGAUGAAAGAAUUAAUAUCUACAAAGUUUUUUAUUCAAGGGCCAACCAAGGAAGUGGAGCAUGUUGCUACUAGAUGUCAUCCUUAUCAAAUGACAAGCCCAGCUACAAAACAAUGUAUGCUAAAAGAGAAAGAGGAACCUCACCAGGAGUCUUCUGGGAAACAAACUUCUCUGAGGAUGGACUGAGACAUUCUCAACCAAGAAGUAAAGUCCUCAAACUAUAAGAAACUCAUUGAGGGGCUGGAGAGAUGGCUCA